GUCUUCGUGGCUCAGUUGGUUAGAGCGUUGGUCUCAUAUUCUCGCCACUCUCUCUCAUCAUGAGACGAGUGCAUACAUAUGAAGUGGUUGUUAACAUCCACUUGGCCAUCCAAAGGUCGUGAGUUCGAGUCUCACCGAGGACA